GCGGGUGUAGUUCAAUGGUAGAACAGCGGCUUCCCAAGCCGCCGGCGUGGGUUCGAUUCCCAUCACCCGCUCCA
rnacentral:tRNA from 6 species